rnacentral:lncRNA from 1 species
AACACCCCCAAAAGCUAUACUCUGGUCGACCAGAGGAACCCCAGGGGCGACACCCACCAUUCCAAACCCUAGUUCACAAGAAAUCCUACAAAUUGAAGGCUUUAAUCAGUUAGAAAUCGAAAUCCAAGCAUAGAAUCGUGAUCACCUUGUCAAGGGGAUCCUAAGUCUCUAGGAUUGUUAUGCUAAUAAUAUGUGCAAGGAAUCCGGGACGUCAAGCGGACACGCCGGAGGAGACAUACGCGGAAAGGGAGUGCUUUAAAGGUGACUUGGAACUAAUCGGAAGAUGGUCGAGCUAGCUUUGGAUGAACCGAACACUAUCUACAAGCUUCCGCUUUAGUUUAACUUCAAUGGUUUUUGUUUUAGACAAAUGUAGACAAUUAACAAUUCAGUUUUCGAAUGUUUUAAUCUAGUACUAGUUUCGCUAAACGUUUGUUACGUAUGAAAUCCAUGUAAGGAAUUUAUGUUUUUCUAAGUAUGUUUUCACUUAAAAGGCUUCAAGUGUUUUAUAAUCUAGUAUAUUUUAAAGGGUGU